rnacentral:rRNA from 1 species
GACGAACGCUGGCGGCGUGCUUAACACAUGCAAGUCGAACGGAAAGGCCCUGCUUUUGUGGGGUGCUCGAGUGGCGAACGGGUGAGUAACACGUGAGUAACCUGCCCUUGACUUUGGGAUAACUUCAGGAAACUGGGGCUAAUACCGGAUAGGAGCUCCUGCUGCAUGGUGGGGGUUGGAAAGUUUCGGCGGUUGGGGAUGGACUCGCGGCUUAUCCGCUUGUUGGUGGGGUAGUGGCUUACCAAGGCUUUGACGGGUAGCCGGCCUGGGAGGGUGACCGGCCACAUUGGGACUGAGAGACGGCCCAGACUCCUACGGGAGGCAGCAGUGGGGAAUAUUACACAAUGGGCGGAAGCCUGAUGCAGCAACGCCGCGUGCGGGAUGACGGCCUUCGAGUUAUAAACCGCUUUCGCCUGUGACGAAGCGUGAGUGACGGUAAUGGGUAAAGAAGCACCGGCUAACUACGUG